CAGUAGCCGCGGGAAUACGUAGGGUGCAAGCGUUAUCCGGAAUUAUUGGGCGUAAAGAGCUCGUAGGCGGUUUGUCGCGUCUGCUGUGAAAACUGGAGGCUCAACCUCCAGCCUGCAGUGGGUACGGGCAGACUAGAGCGCGGUAGGGGAGAUUGGAAUUCCUGGUGUAGCGGUGGAAUGCGCAGAUAUCAGGAGGAACACCGAUGGCGAAGGCAGAUCUCUGGGCCGUAACUGACGCUGAGGAGCGAAAGCGUGGGGAGCGAACAGGAUUAGAUACCCCCGUAGUCCCUGUCUCUUAUAC
rnacentral:rRNA from 1 species